CCUACGGGGGGCAGCAGUGAGGAAUAUUGGUCAAUGGGCGGGAGCCUGAACCAGCCAAGCCGCGUGAGGGAAGAAGGUACAGCGUAUCGUAAACCUCUUUUGUCAGGGAACAAAGGCGGGGACUAGUCCCCGGCUGAGGGUACCUGAAGAAAAAGCAUCGGCUAACUCCGUGCCAGCAGCCGCGGUAAUACGGAGGAUGCGAGCGUUAUCGGGAUUUAUUGGGUUUAACGGGGGUGCAGUGGGCGUGUUAAGUCAGCGGGAAAACCCCGGGGCUAAACCCCGGCGAGCCGUUGAAACUGGCUGGCUGGAGUUGGAGAGAGGGACGCGGAAUGCGAGGUGUAGCAGUGAAAUGCUUAGAUAUCGCGCAGAACCCCGAUUGCGAAGGCAGCGUACCGGCUCCACACUGACGCUGAGGCACGAAAGCGUGGGUAGCGAACAGGAUUAGAUACCCCAGUAGUC
rnacentral:rRNA from 1 species